rnacentral:rRNA from 1 species
ACUUCUUCAUUCUCUAAUCUUCUAAGUUCUAACCUUUACCUAAAUGCAGCUAGCUACAAAUUUGAUUUGAAGAAUACCUACUCGAAGCCGCAUUGCUUGAUUCCUCUUCAAGAGCUACUGAAAUCAUCUCCUUUUCUAGUUGAUGAUAGUUGUGUCUUUGGUGUGGAGAUAUUAAAAAUCGAUGUCUCUUCUCCUGAAAAGAAGGAUGUUGUGGUUCAGAAGAAGGCUACCACAGUUCAGAAUCUCUUUGUCCAGAAGAAAGGGUUCAUUAAAGGGACAUACACUUGGACCAUGGACAAUUUCCUUGAAUUGGAAUUGAAGCACUUCGUCCGUUCUCCUACAUUUGAAGUUGGCGGACUUAAAUGGUACGUCGGCAUGUACCCGCGUGGUGACAAGUACAGCAAUGAUUGCCUCAGCUUGUACUUAUGCCUGGAUGACUCGAUUGAGCUCCCUUUGGAGUCUGGGAAGUUGGUUGAAUUGACACUAUCCAUCCUGGACCAAAAGAAUGCGAAACACCGGACUGUAACUUCAGGUUCAGCUCUCCUUAGCAAGUAUCAGUGCUACUGGGGAUCGCGUAACUUCUUUGAACUCAAAAAACUCAAGGACCCAUCGGGGGGCUAUGUUGUGGGAUCCAGUAGCGUUGUGAAGGCAGAUCUCACCAUCGUCGGUUCAUCCAAUGAUAGCUAG